CUCACAGCAAGGGAACUCCCACUCCGGGCGUGCCUAACAACCAUCUGCAAAUGCAAAGCGAUUCCUGGAAGAGGCGAGCGCAGGACCUGCUUCUCCGGGACCCCAUCGUCUCCUAGAGGGUCCCCCCAAGCAGAACUGAGAGGUCUCCGCCGGACACUCAGAGCUGACGCUGGGCUCAGGCCGGUCAGAGCCGGGUCACCCCGCCCAGAUCCCCUCGGGCACCCGCUCGGGGGCCCCCCGGGGCUUCCAGGAAGAGUCCGGGACGGAAUCCCCCGCCCUGGGGGCGCAGAGCCCCCCUCGCUCCCCGGGGCCGGGAAGCAGGGGCGAGGGUGCGGGGAGCACUGGCUCCUGGUCGCCGCUGGGGCUCCCCGGGACCCCUCCGGCCCGCCCCCCCCCCGACCUCCGCGCCCCGGGCCGCCCCACCCGGGCUCCGACGGGCUCACCCUCGCACAUUUGAACCGAGGAGGCCGAGCGGCCGGGCGGGGCUCGCAGAUGCCAUUGGCUGCGGCGGCGGCGUGACAUCAGCGCGGAGGGCGCGGGAGGGAGGGCGCGGGAGGGGCCUGGGAGGGGAGUGUCCCGGAGGCUCGCCGCCCUGCGCGCCCGAGCAGAGGGAAGCCGACCCCGGCGCUGACAUGGGCCUCCAGCCCCGCGCCCGCCCGCAGCCCACGGAGGGGACAGCGCAGCCGCGCCGGCCGGGCGCCAGCAUCUCCGGGGACCCAGCCCUAUGAUCUCCUGGUCACCCCGCCCACCUGCCGGACUUCAUAUCUGACCCCCGACCCGCCUGCUGCCUCCGGAGCCCCC
rnacentral:lncRNA from 1 species